GCAAAAUUACUCAUUUUCAAGAAUCAAUUACAGUAACUUAACUCCCAAGUUGGUAGGAUCCAAAUUACAAUUUUCAAGUUCAACGGAAAAAGUAAAGUCUUAUACAUACAUCAUUAUUCUCGUCUCAUUUCCAUCAAUUCUUUAUGAGUUAAUCUACUAAUAACAGUAAACCAUUCACAAAAUUAUAUGAAUCGAGCUUGCAUACCCCAUAUAUCGCUCAAACCCUAGCAGCAACUGCAGGGGCAACAGCUACGGCAGCAGCAUUAGCGGCACCGCCGCUUAAGAAAGAGAGAAACCCAGUAGCGGGAGACUCUUGAUCAUCAAGGAAAAGAUCCUCAGGAGCCCUAAAAGCAGCAUGUGUACACACAAUUCCAAGACCAACCAUCAAAGCAGAAACAAGCACAGCUCCUACAGAGGUAAGGAAGAUCACAACCACAGUAGAGACAAUAAGCAAACCCAGCGUCUCCCUUUCAGAAAACUGUCGACCAAAUAGAACCAAAGGCGGAUCGGAAGGACGGAAAAGGUAAAGAAAGAGCCAAGCGGCGAGAAGGCCAGAAAGAGUAAGAAGGGAAAAUGGGUUUGUAAUGAGGGAAAAGGCGAGAACAACAGCAAGGAGAGAAAGGUAAUUGAUACGGAAAUAGGUGUAAUUUUUGCGGAUACGGAGAGUGGCGUCGGAGAUAGAUUCCGGUUUAGAGAAAGCAGACCGGUCAAGGAGUUCGGACCAUGGCCGGCGAUUGGCAAAACCGGUUUGGACGGUGGUGGAGAUGUGGUUGAUGAAUGAUCGGAAUGCCGGAGUUGGUCCGAUCUGUUGGGUAGUGUCGGCGGCGGUGGAUUGUGAAGUAAUUGGGAGGAUUGCUGGUGAAGAAGCCAUUUUUGAUUGUGUGAAAAAUAUGAGAAGAGGAGAGUAAAUAAGAGUUAAUAUUUUU
rnacentral:misc_RNA from 1 species